ACUGCUCAGACCCUCCAGGGGUAGGGUCCAGGAUUGAAGAGGGAAGCCCUGCUCCACACGUGUUCAUCAGGAAGGACCCACAGACUGCUGCUCCUGGAGGCCUCUCAGGGUUUAUGGAUGUGUGUUUGUUCCAUAAACCCUCAGAGGGUCACCUGGAGACCUGCUAAAAUGCAGGUUCUUGGGCCACAUCCUAGACCUUCUGACCGACCCAGGGAGUGGGGCCCAGGAAGCUGCAUUUGACAGAUAUCCCCGUGUGAUCAUCAUGCACACAGGAGUGACAGAACCAGUGUUCUCCCCGGGCAGAAGGGAAGCUCGUGUGCAGGACACCUCACACCUCCUUUCCUAUUCCCCUGCCAGGCUCUCCCUGCUGACAUUGUUUCGCGGGAGAGCUGUGAAUACUGAAGAUUAGGUUGCUUCUCACCCCAAGCUCCAGAAGUCCAGGCUGAGCCAAACCAAGCUUCAAGUUAACAAGUCAAAUGACAAAAACAAAACACCAGGCUGAAAUCAUAGGCUUCUACAAGCAGGUGCCUGGACUUGGAGAACCAGGAAGUGAGGGGACUGACUACUUGAAG
rnacentral:lncRNA from 1 species